CAGAAAUGGGAGCUCCUUUGCGGCCAAAGAAAUCAUUUCAGAUCGUCUUAUUUCUCAUAGAAGCAGUCGUCCUUUGGAGUGAAUGGAGCUCCGAAUUCUU
rnacentral:pre_miRNA from 1 species